rnacentral:rRNA from 1 species
UACGGGAGGGUGCGAGCGUUGUCCGGAAUCACUGGGCGUAAAGGGCGCGUAGGCGGCCUGAUAAGUAGGGGGUGAAAUCCUGCGGCUUAACCGCAGGGCUGCCUUCUAGACUGUCAGGCUAGAGCACAGUAGAGGCAGGUGGAAUUCCCGGUGUAGCGGUGGAAUGCGUAGAGAUCGGGAAGAACAUCAGUGGCGAAGGCGGCCUGCUGGGCUGUUGCUGACGCUGAGGCGCGACAGCGUGGGGAGCAACAGG